AUCACUUAAUCAGGAAGUCGAAAACCUUGGCGACCUUGAUCAAUCUGCUGAGACUGUGGUUCGCUUGUUUUGCGCUCUUCCUAGAUGGGGUGAGAAGAAUGUCCAGGUCCAGCAACAGUGAGGUUGUCACAUAUAUAGCCUCAACGGUGAAACGAUUUACAAAAUGAUGUAUUGUGCUUUGUCUUCAAGGCAUCAGUGAGAGGGUGGCUGAUAUUAAAACACAUGCCCAUGCAAUGAAGUGCCUUGCUGCAUUCUCUGAGGCAGUUGGCCCUGGUUUUAUCUUUUAUAGGGUGAGUGGAAUAUAAUUUAU